UUGGGCUGGCACCUUCCUUACUAAGAAUGAAAGUAACAUAUGAGUAUACAUAGAUCAACAGAAUCUGCCCAGUGGUUGACAAAAGGUCCAUGUGGGCAGGAAGGCCAGAGAGGACAGUCAGAUAGAUAGGUUAUAAAAAAAGCUCAUGUAAAUCCAGACACUUCCUCCACCCAAUGUGCCAACCAUUCUGAGACCUCAGGAGCUGGCAAAGAACAACAAGCGGGGUGAAAAAUCGACCACUGACAGGGGUCUGGAACCAAAUCCACAUUAUCUUCAAUAUGUGCCUACCUGUAGAGUAUUGUUUCUACUUUGGAACGGUAUAAUGGAGAGAAGAUUGGUGAUAUGGGGUCAAGAAGACCUCAAUAACUUACUAGCUGUGUAACCCUGGGUUCAAAUCACAGCUCAGUUACUCACCUCCAGGACACUUUGGCCAAAAUACUAAUCUCUCGAGAUCUCAGUUUCUUCAUCUUUAGAAUGAAGGGAUUGGACUGGAUAAUAUUAAAGCUCUAAGACUAUGA